rnacentral:siRNA from 1 species
UUAGAGUGUUGAAUGUGAA